rnacentral:misc_RNA from 1 species
GGAGAAAGCCUCGCCGAAUCCCGUUCUGCAGGCGAGAAGUUGCCAGCGGUGACACGGGACCGGCCCGCUGUCCCGCGCUGGAAUCCUCGCGCUUCAGCGCGGGGAGGAUGUCAAAGGCGUCACAUCA